rnacentral:rRNA from 1 species
UACGGGGGGGGCAAGCGUUGUUCGGAAUUACUGGGCGUAAAGGGCUCGUAGGCGGCCAACUAAGUCAGACGUGAAAUCCCCAGGCUCAACCUGGGAACUGUGUCUGAUACUGGAUGGCUUGAAUUCGGGAGAGGGAUGCAGAAUUCCAGGUGUAGCGGUGAAAUGCGUAGAUAUCUGGAGGAAUACCGGUGGCGAAGGCGGCAUCCUGGACCGACAUUGACGCUGAUGAGCGAAAGCUAGGGGAGCAAACGGG